GCGGGGAAAUGAUGAGAACUUAUUCCAAAUGUUGUUUGAGGGUAGAUAUUAUCUGCCUCUGAUUAUACCUUGCACGUCAGUCUGAUCCCAUA